GCCCCAGGAGGAAGCGGGGACUGUUAGCAGUAUAGGAUUGAGGAGUUGGAAGAGACCUUUAGAACAGCUGGUCCUUAUGCCGACUGGGUGCCCGCACUAAGUUCGGCAUCAAUAUGGUGACCUCCUGGGAGUGGGGGGCCACCAAGUUGCUUAAGGAUGGCUGAACUGGCCCAGGUCAGAAAGGGAGUGGGUCAGAACUCCCGCACCGACCAGUAGUGGGACUAUGCCUGAUCCUGGUUCUUAAAAGUAAAAAUAAAGAACAGCAGCUCAU
rnacentral:sRNA from 1 species